rnacentral:rRNA from 1 species
CCUACGGGUGGCAGCAGUGAGGAAUAUUGGUCAAUGGGCGAGAGUCUGAACCAGCCAAGUAGCGUGAAGGAUGACUGCCCUACGGGUUGUAAACUUCUUUUAUAUGGGAAUAAAAUGUUCCACGUGUGGGAUUUUGUAUGUACCCUAUGAAUAAGGAUCGGCUAACUCCGUGCCAGCAGCCGCGGUAAUACGGAGGAUCCGAGCGUUAUCCGGAUUUAUUGGGUUUAAAGGGAGCGUAGGUGGAUCGUUAAGGCAGUUGGGAAAGUUUGCGGCUCAACCGUAAGAUUGCAGUUGAAACUGGCAGUCUUGAGUACAGUAGAGGUGGGCGGAAUUCGUGGUGUAGCGGUGAAAUGCUUAGAUAUCACGAAGAACUCCGAUUGCGAAGGCAGUUCACUGGGCUGCAACUGACACUGAGGCUCGAAAGUGUGGGUAUCAAACAGGAUUAGAUACCCGGGUAGUC